UACGGAGGGUGCGAGCGUUGUCCGGAAUCAUUGGGCGUAAAGGGCGCGUAGGUGGCCCGGUAAGCGUGCGGUGAAAGCUCGGGGCCCAACCCCGAGUCGGCCGUGCGAACUGCUGGGCUUGAGCACUGUAGAGGCAGGCGGAAUUCCGGGUGUAGCGGUGGAAUGCGUAGAGAUCCGGAAGAACACCGGUGGCGAAGGCGGCCUGCUGGGCAGUAGCUGACACUGAGGCGCGACAGCGUGGGGAGCAAACAGG
rnacentral:rRNA from 1 species